rnacentral:misc_RNA from 1 species
AAGUCGUAACAAGGUAACCGUAGGUGAACCUGCGGUUGGAUCAUUAGUGGUUUUUACGUAGCGCUGUUGUAGUGUUUCUGGGGGGUGUUGGUCUUUGGUUUUGGUUUUGGUGUCUUUUUGUUUGUCUGUUUUUGUGCGUGCCUUGUGCUGCCUUGUGCGGUGUCUUGUGCGGUGCCGUGGCAGUACAAACGGAUCGACGGCAACACUCGGACCAGACCCAAGAACCCUUGCAGACAAUAGACGUCUUUGCUUGCUUUGAUGAAACCAAAUCAAAAACAACUUUUGACAACGGAUCUCUUGGCUCUC